CACCGCCGCCCGCCGCGCCCCCACGCCCGCCUGCUGGUGCCCCCGCCGCGCCCCUCCCCGCACCGCCGGCACGCCCGCUUCGCCCCGGCCCGCAGACACCCCCGCCCGCGACGAGCUGUGCUGCUGGUGGCGGUGGAGCGCGGUGAGGAUGAGGCGCGCGUCACGCCUGGUGGCCGGGUCAUGGAGGCGCGCCAGCAGAGCCCUGAGCUCGCCGUAGGCGGCAUCGCCAGAGGGCUCGCACCGCUGCAGGGACGCCUUGACGAUGCUGCCGUCGUCAUCCGCCUCCACGCCCAUGCUGCCCAUCUGAUUCCGAUCUGAUUCCAGUCGCUGAGGUCCGCCGGAGCUAGCUAGAGCCUAUAGCUUGGCUUCUUGUUUGCUUCUUCCAGCCUGUACGCAAGGUUCUGUUUAUAUGGAUUUUUGUAUAUAAGAUUGCAUUGUUCUUUCGUAUGAUGCUGCAUAUGACGAGACGAUGUCUAGUCAGCACGGACCAGACUAUGACUGGAGGACCUCACCUAUUGAUCCUCAGGUUGUGUAUGCAAGUGGUGGAAAAGGUCAUGGAAGGUACACAAUAUUUGCUAACGUCAACGACUCGAUCCAGGUGAGAGUUCAGUGUGGAGGUUCGUCGAGAUCUGCUGCUCGUAGCUCCCGUCGCUCCAAUCAAGAUCUAGUAGAAGUGGAGCAACUGCAAGAAGAACAGGCGACAUCAGGAUUACUUGAGACAAUAAGCUGCGCAACAUGAAUACUAUGCUACACAGAUUCAACAACAACAAACACUCAUACAACAACUAGCACAGGCCCAAGGGAUACAUGUCCCGGUGUCCCCACCACCACCACCACCACCUCCCGUACAUUAUCCUUGGUCUUCACAUCCACCUACACCUACAUCUCCACCUACCGAACAUCAGACCCCUCCAGCUACCUUGCCGACACAUGAACGAGAAGACGGGUUAGACUUUGUCAAAACCCUCUUCGCUAGUGGAGGUAUCGACCAUCACUCAUCAUUGUACCCCAAUGGUGAUCGACGAUCGUGAGCUUCCAUGUUAUGUGUUGUAAUACUUGAGACUUUUAUUAUGACUAUGUAUGAGAUAUUGUCUCUUAUAAUGACUGGAUGAGAUGU